UGUAAUUUUCACAUUGUCCUUAAGUUCAGGCUUCUUAUUCCUCUCCGUCGGUCAGACGCACCGCCUCAAAUUUUUCCGUCUCCUCCUUCGGCCUUUUUGAAAGUUCCAGAGCCAAGAGUGGUCGCUACCUCCACCUUCAUUAUUCCGGUGUCAUCCUCGUUGCCGUUGUUGGUGUGAGUGUGUGUUAGAACACCUUCCACCAUUGUUAAAGGUCCAGCUCGCGAAUUCUUCCUAUCCCCUGUUUCGCACUGCCAAUCACUCACUUUUCUGAGUGGCUGUUCAGCUCAUCUGUCCGUCGCCGGCUAUUCUUCCUUGCUGUCGUGAUGGGCUUCUGAAAGUGGUGAAGACGUUGGUUUUUCUGUCACUGUUCUCCGCUCUUUCCAGGCGCACAGAUAAGGAGAAAAAAAAAUCUGGAACCUUCGACUCAGUCUUCGUUUUCAUUACUGUCUCCCUUCGUUUCUCUUCAUGUUUUCCGGCGAUCUUUCACUUCUGUGCCUUCGGCCAUCAUCUUUCUCUUCUCUCUUCUUUUCUGUUCGGUUGAAUUUGGUGAUUGAGAGAAGCUUCGAACUCAAGACCCCUGUUAUUCUCCAUCCUUUUCGUUCUCCUUCCCUGCUGUUUUGUCCGUCGGAAAUAUCCAAGUUUUCUGUGGAUUCACCGCUGACGAGGUUGGAGUCACGAUCACUGUGCUUCUCUUUCUCCUCUGUUCGUGUGCGCUGUGGGGUGCUGUCAUCGAAGCCUCUCCUUCAUCAUCUUCCCCUGUUUCAGGUGCUAAAAUCCAUCUUCCUUCUCUGUCCUUGCUGUGGUAUGGAGUGCACCAGACCUUCUUCUUUCUCCUUCAUACUCGUGUGAUUGCAACUUUCUGUUCACUUGUGCUUCUGUCAUCGUGGAUUGAGUUCCGUUAGCCCUUGGCGCGCCAUGGUACACCCAGCUAGCAAGGUGUUUAUAGGAGGUGCUAGCCUCGUGCAAUGGCCAACACACGUGGAACGGAGGGAUGGUUAUUCGUGAGCAUCGUGCUCAUGUUUGUUUCGUAGCUUUGGUUGUGUUUUGUUACUUACCCUCGUGGACUAUGUGUCCACAGUUGUUUCGUGGCUUCGGCUGCGUUUGGUUACUUACCCUCAUGGAUUGUAUGUCUACGUUUGUCUUCGUGGCAAGAGUCACAUUUGGUUAUCUGCCCUCGUGAACUUUGUAUCCGCGUUUGUUAAUUGUUCUGAUAAGUCCUUGUAAUAUGAAUUUGAUUAUUUGAUUAUUUUACAUUCCAUUGGUUUUUAAUUAGUGAAUUAUUUAUAAUUAUUUAUUUUAUUUAUUUACUUUCUUGUAA